rnacentral:rRNA from 1 species
UACAGAGGGUGCGAGCGUUAAUCGGAAUUACUGGGCGUAAAGGGUGCGUAGGUGGUGCGCUAAGUUGGAUGUGAAAUCCCUGGGCUUAACCUAGGAAUUGCAUUCAAUACUGGCACACUAGAGUCGGGUAGAGGGAGGUGGAAUUUCCGGUGUAGCGGUGAAAUGCGUAGAUAUCGGAAGGAACACCAGUGGCGAAGGCGGCCUCCUGGACUUAGACUGACACUGAGGCACGAAAGCGUGGGUAGCAAACAGG